rnacentral:tRNA from 1 species
GCCACUGUAGUGCAUAAGUUAGCAUGUCAGCCUACCAAGCUGAACGCCUGGGUUCGAAUUCUGGCGAAAACA